rnacentral:rRNA from 1 species
GCAGUCGAGCGGACAGAUGGGAGCUUGCUCCCUGAUGUCAGCGGCGGACGGGUGAGUAACACGUGGGUAACCUGCCUGUAAGACUGGGAUAACUCCGGGAAACCGGGGCUAAUACCGGAUGCUUGAUUGAACCGCAUGGUUCAAUUAUAAAAGGUGGCUUUUAGCUACCACUUACAGAUGGACCCGCGGCGCAUUAGCUAGUUGGUGAGGUAACGGCUCACCAAGGCGACGAUGCGUAGCCGACCUGAGAGGGUGAUCGGCCACACUGGGACUGAGACACGGCCCAGACUCCUACGGGAGGCAGCAGUAGGGAAUCUUCCGCAAUGGACGAAAGUCUGACGGAGCAACGCCGCGUGAGUGAUGAAGGUUUUCGGAUCGUAAAACUCUGUUGUUAGGGAAGAACAAGUACCGUUCGAAUAGGGCGGUACCUUGACGGUACCUAACCAGAAAGCCACGGCUAACUACGUGCCAGCAGCCGCGGUAAUACGUAGGUGGCAAGCGUUGUCCGGAAUUAUUGGGCGUAAAGCGCGCGCAGGCGGUUUCUUAAGUCUGAUGUGAAAGCCCCCGGCUCAACCCGGGGAGGGUCAUUGGAAACUGGGGAACUUGAGUGCAGAAGAGGAGAGUGGAAUUUCCACGUGUAGCGGUGAAAUGCGUAGAGAUGUGGAGGAACACCAGUGGCGAAGGCGACUCUCUGGUCUGUAACUGACGCUGAGGCGCGAAAGCGUGGGGAGCGAACAGGAUUAGAUACCCUGGUAGUCCACGCCGUAAACGAUGAGUGCUAAGUGUUAGAGGGUUUCCGCCCUUUAGUGCUGCAGCAAACGCAUUAAGCACUCCGCCUGGGGAGUACGGUCGCAAGACUGAAACUCAAAGGAAUUGACGGGGGCCCGCACAAGCGGUGGAGCAUGUGGUUUAAUUCGAAGCAACGCGAAGAACCUUACCAGGUCUUGACAUCCUCUGACAACCCUAGAGAUAGGGCUUCCCCUUCGGGGGCAGAGUGACAGGUGGUGCAUGGUUGUCGUCAGCUCGUGUCGUGAGAUGUUGGGUUAAGUCCCGCAACGAGCGCAACCCUUGAUCUUAGUUGCCAGCAUUCAGUUGGGCACUCU